rnacentral:lncRNA from 1 species
CCUUCUAAUUUUUUUUUUUUAAUUUCUACCAGAAAAGUAUGAAAGUCUUUUCAACAAGACAUCAAAAUGAAUUGUUGAACAAUGAAGAAAUGAAUCUCUGUCUAACAGUCACAUGUCUUCAGGAAUGGCAAUUCCAUAUGGUCCCUCCCAACAGAAAGCAAUGGGAAGUGAGUAAUCAGAGUGCAGAUCCCCUUGAUGUCUUGGCACCUCUUUCCUUCACUGAGUCUUGAGAUGAGAUCACAGCUGACGUCUCGAUUAGAACCUCAUGAGAAACUUGGAGCCAGAGGAUCCAGCAGAUUACUGACUCACAG